rnacentral:tRNA from 1 species
GGGGAUGUGGUGUAACGGGAGCACACCGCGGUCGCAUCGCGGGAAUGAGGGUUCGAUUCCCUCCAUCUCCA